rnacentral:lncRNA from 1 species
UUCUGAUUAUUGUUCUUCCCUAGGGUGAAGUUUUGGGCCUGUGGAACUCUUAAAGAUUUACACUGCCAAGGGGAAAAUUGCAACUCGAGCACCCUCCUACUUCCUGCCCUGGCCUGUGUGCAUGGUCUGCAGAGGCCUACAACCACCAAGACCUGACCCCAGGCAGCAUGGCCUACCUAGACCAAGUCUCCAGAAGCAUCUGGAAGCCAGGAACCUGCACACAGACUGCACACAUGUACAUAGAGACUCCAGGAAUGUCCAGAAGCCAGGCACAUGA